GGAUGACGAAAACAGCGGAUAUUUCAGAGCCCAGAUUAUGAAGUUGUUUGGUGAGUAUGCUUUUGUUGUUCAUUGUUUGAUGGUGCAAUUUCAGGGACAAUCGAUAUAUGCACAUCGCGUGUACCUGUUUUCAGUAACCAAAGAGGAGGCUGAUGCUUCCGCGGAAAGCUCGAGCAAGAGAUUUUCCUGCCCCCAAAUGCCUAUGGACAGCAGUUUAGAAGGCGACACCGCAGCGAGUGGGGAAUCCUACAGAAAGCACAAAAGACAAAAACAAGUGCCAAAAUCUCGUGUGAAGGAUACCGAGGCACAGUUUAGGACAAAACAGCUGGACCUUUUGUUUCCUCCUGAAGCAUGAAAGGGAGGAGAUUGUCUUCGGCAAGAAGUUGUGAGGCUGCGCAAGAUCUUCAAAGCAGAUUUCUUCAGCCACUCCUCGUCCAGAAGUAUCCAUUUAAGGAGGUUGACCUCGCGGUAAAAAUUGCGGACAUCAUGAAGGUACCGACGCCACCAACUCAGCAGCUAACACCACCACCUCAGCAGCCAAAUGAGGAAGGUUAACUGUAGAGGGCUCACCUCACUUGACGAUUUAAAUAAAGUGUGUUUGUGUUUGACAACUGCCUUUG
rnacentral:lncRNA from 1 species